rnacentral:rRNA from 1 species
UACGAAGGGGGCGAGCGUUGUUCGGAAUUACUGGGCGUAAAGCGUGCGCAGGCGGUUUUGUAAGCCAGAUGUGAAAUCCCCGGGCUUAACCUGGGAAUGGCAUUUGGGACUGCAAGGCUGGAGUUUGGCAGAGGAGACUGGAAUUCCUGGUGUAGCAGUGAAAUGCGUAGAUAUCAGGAGGAAUACCGAUGGCGAAGGCAGGUCUCUGGGCAUUAACUGACGCUGAGGAGCGAAAGCAUGGGGAGCGAACAGG